AUUGAACGCUGGCGGCAUGCUUUACACAUGCAAGUCGAACGGUAACAGGUUAAGCUGACGAGUGGCGAACGGGUGAGUAAUGCAUCGGAACGUGCCCGGUCGUGGGGGAUAACGCAGCGAAAGCUGCGCUAAUACCGCAUACGAUCUAUGGAUGAAAGCGGGGGAUCGCAAGACGUCGCGCGAUUGGAGCGGCCGAUAUCAGAUUAGGUAGUUGGUGGGGUAAAGGCCCACCAAGCCAACGAUCUGUAGCUGGUCUGAGAGGACGACCAGCCACACUGGAACUGAGACACGGUCCAGACUCCUACGGGAGGCAGCAGUGGGGAAUUUUGGACAAUGGGCGAAAGCCUGAUCCAGCCAUUCCGCGUGCAGGAUGAAGGCCCUCGAGUUGUAAACUGCUUUUGUACAGAACGAAAAGGUUUCUACUAAUACUAGGAGCUCAUGACGGUACUGUAAGAAUAAGCACCGGCUAACUACGUGCCAGCCGCCGCAGUAA
rnacentral:rRNA from 1 species